UACGUAGGCAGCAAGCGUUGUUCGGAGUUACUGGGCGUAAAGGGUGUGUAGGCGGUUGUUUAAGUUUGGUGUGAAAUCUCCCGGCUCAACUGGGAGGGUGCGCCGAAUACUGAAUGACUAGAGUGCGGGAGAGGGAUGCGGAAUUCCAGGUGUAGCGGUGAAAUGCGUAGAUAUCUGGAGGAACACCGGUGGCGAAGGCGGCAUCCUGGACCAAUUCUGACGCUGAGGAGCGAAAGCUAGGGGAGCAAACGGG
rnacentral:rRNA from 1 species